AUAACAUGCAGUCGAGCGAAUGGAUUACCAGCUUGCUCUUAUGAAGUUAGCGGCGGACGGGUGAGUAACACGUGGGUAACCUGCCCAUAAGACUGGGAUAACUCCGGGAAACCGGGGCUAAUACCGGAUAACAUUUUGAACCGCAUGGUUCGAAAUUGAAAGGCGGCUUCGGCUGUCACUUAUGGAUGGACCCGCGUCGCAUUAGCUAGUUGGUGAGGUAACGGCUCACCAAGGCAACGAUGCGUAACCCACCUGAGAGGGUGAUCGGCCACACUGGGACUGAAACACGGCCCAGACUCCUACGGGAGGCAGCAGUAGGGAAUCUUCCGCAAUGGACGAAAGUCUGACGGAGCAACGCCGCGUGAGUGAUGAAGGCUUUCGGGUCGUAAAACUCUGUUGUUAGGGAAGAACAAGUGCUAAUUGAAUAAGCUGGCACCUUGACGGUACCUAACCAAAAAGCCACGGCUAACUACGUGCCAGCACCGGCGGUAAUAA
rnacentral:rRNA from 1 species